GUGGGGAAUUUUGCGCAAUGGGCGAAAGCCUGACGCAGCAACGCCGCGUGGGUGAUGAAGGCCUUCGGGUCGUAAAGCCCUGUCGGAUGGGACGAACCUCCAGGGGGCGAACAGCCGCUUGGAAUGACGGUACCAUCUAAGGAAGCACCGGCCAACUCCGUGCCAGCAGCCGCGGUAAUACGGAGGGUGCAAGCGUUGUUCGGAAUCACUGGGCGUAAAGGGCGUGUAGGCGGCCGAGCAAGUCGGGCGUGAAAGCCCUCGGCUCAACCGAGGAAGUGCGCCCGAAACUACACGGCUUGAGUACCGGAGAGGGAGGUGGAAUUCCCGGUGUAGAGGUGAAAUUCGUAGAUAUCGGGAGGAACACCGGUGGCGAAGGCGGCCUCCUGGACGGAUACUGACGCUGAGACGCGAAAGCGUGGGUAGCAAACAGGAUUAGAAACCCCAGUAGUCC
rnacentral:rRNA from 1 species